AGAGUUUGAUCCUGGCUCAGGACGAACGCUGGCGGCGUGCUUAACACAUGCAAGUCGAACGGAAAGGCCCUUUCGGGGGUACUCGAGUGGCGAACGGGUGAGUAACACGUGGGUGAUCUGCCCUGCACUUUGGGAUAAGCCUGGGAAACUGGGUCUAAUACCGAAUACACCCUGCUGGUCGCAUGGCCUGGUGGGGGAAAGCUUUUGCGGUGUGGGAUGGGCCCGCGGCCUAUCAGCUUGUUGGUGGGGUGAUGGCCUACCAAGGCGACGACGGGUAGCCGGCCUGAGAGGGUGUCCGGCCACACUGGGACUGAGAUACGGCCCAGACUCCUACGGGAGGCAGCAGUGGGGAAUAUUGCACAAUGGGCGCAAGCCUGAUGCAGCGACGCCGCGUGGGGGAUGACGGCCUUCGGGUUGUAAACCUCUUUCACCAUC
rnacentral:rRNA from 1 species